GACAGAGGGUGCAAACGUUGUUCGGAAUUACUGGGCGUAAAGCGCGUGUAGGCGGCCAUCUAAGUCGGGCGUGAAAUCCCACGGCUCAACCGUGGAAGUGCACUCGAAACUGGAUGGCUAGAGUCCUGGAGAGGAAGGUGGAAUGCUUGGUGUAGAGGUGAAAUUCGUAGAUAUCAAGCGGAACACCGGUGGCGAAGGCGGCCUUCUGGACAGUGACUGACGCUGAGACGCGAAAGCGGUGGGGAGCAAACAGGAUAGAA
rnacentral:rRNA from 1 species